rnacentral:rRNA from 1 species
UACGAAGGGGGCUAGCGUUGUUCGGAUUUACUGGGCGUAAAGCGCGUGUAGGCGGGUCGUUAAGUUGGGGGUGAAAUCCCGAGGCUCAACCUCGGAACUGCCUUCAAAACUGGCGACCUGGACCUAAGUAGAAGCAGAUGGAUCGAGUGUAGAGGUGAAAUUCGUAGAUAUUCGCAGGAACACCAGUGGCGAAGGCGACUUGCUGGACUUAUGGUGACGCUGAGACGCGAAAGCGUGGGGAGCAAACAGG